GAGUGGCCCAUGGCCCAUCUUGUUAGGCCUAUGUACUAUCUUUGGUCACACCCAAGAAUCCAUGUCAAAGGUCAUGCCCUAAAAUGGCAGCUCUAGGCUAAACAAGGAAGUUCUAAAGUCAUCUUCAGAACAUGUUUCUUUGUGACAUGAAUGGGAAAUUGUUCACUUGAGAGUUUUCUUAAGUCACGCAAGACAAUAGUGGCGCCACUUAGGGCCUUUCAAUCAGCUCACCACAUCUGCAGGGAUUGUUUGAAGACAGGCCCACGCUAUUGUCGGAAAAAUGGAUGGUCGAAAUCGUCUUUGGAACCGUCUGAUUUCCAGGUUCCGGCGCAACAGAUCGUACUAUUGCUAUGAUGAGGUGGGGGGUGGCCGUAGGUAUAGACGGCGCCCCAGGAGGCAGCAGGAUCUGCCUGUCUCUCUCCAUGGGUCCACAAGAUGUAAUCCUUUUUGGCAAAAUGGGCCCAGAAGCAGAGCUCAACUUUUAGAAACGCCAAGACCUGCCUCUUAUUAUUUUCGUCAGAUCCACAGAAACCCCACUGGUGGUAACUAUGUGCCAAAGUGCCUGUCAGGUGUCAACUUUGGGGCAUUACUUCUUGGGACAACCUCUAAUGAUGAUUUCUCCCGGAGCUGCUGGCUGGAGAACAGUUUACACUUGUUUGGAAGUGCUAACCCGGAUGAUAAUGAUGAUGAUGUUGACUGUAGGCAAAGUUUCUUGAGGCGUAGAUCUAUUUCUCCCCUUGGUGGUGUUGACAUUGAUGGGGAGACCACCAUUAGAUCUUCCGUAAGUGCCAGAGGGCAAAGAAUUGAGGACCUCUCUGGCGAUGGUGACUGCUACUCAGGAGAUGGUAGUCGGUCAGACGGAACUGUUUCUGACAUCACUCGUUUUUACAACAGCGUGAAUUUGACUGGUUUUGCGUUUAAUACUGAAGAAGGGAUGCAUUUUGAGCAGCCACCACCUUAUUCAGAAUAUCCGGAGGACCCACCUCCACCGUAUACAGCGAAUUUUUUUACUAGACCUAGUAGGCCUAGUGGGUCAACUUCCCGUUUUUCGGAUCAGGCUAGUCUUCAGCUUUCUGGCCUCGCCAUUCUGUGGUGACACCCAAAUGCACUACUUUAGGACUUUGAUUUCUGGCAUUUUUUAUUCCAACUGUGAAACAAAGUGUGAAGUAUAAAAUUACGUUAUUAAAAUAGGUGUUGCAUAAAAUAAUUAUACCUCAUGAUUACUUUUCCCAGAAGUGCCUUUUAGAAUGAUUUUUUUCAUGCUCUCGUAAUGUUUACAGCUAAUAAAGACUAUACACUGCAUUUUACAUGUACACGUUUUUAAAAGGAAUUGUAUUGUUAUUGACAUGUUUUUCUUGUUUUAUAAUGUAAGCAUAGAUCUAAUGCUUGUUUUUUGCUAAUAAUUUUGAAACUGAUAACAUUUGAGAGAUGAUUCCAAGGACAAAGGAAGAAUAUUAUGAAUUUCAAUGUCAUUCCUUUAUUGAGGGGAGUAGAAAGCACUGGGCUUACUGGUUGCUAUUUCAAAUUGGUUUGAAUUAUUUUGUUUGUUCCAACAGUUCCAAAGUGGUUAAACUGGUAGGCCUACUUAUGCAAGUUGUUACAUUUUGUGAAAAAUAUGCUACUGACUACUUGAAGUUGAAGUAGAAGUAAAAUCCCCCUCCUUUCCCUUACAUAAGAUAGUGGCUUCUCUUUAUUUUCAUUCAGUCUCAUUUAUUUACUGCUUCAAUCCCAUGCCUGCGAUUAUAAUUGGACCGAGAAAUUAUGUGUUGUUAGCUUUGGAACAGAGAUUUAAUUCUAAGCAGUGUUUUACCUUAAUCCUCACAAAAUUAAUCCCCACUUUUGUGAUUCCAAAUAAGUAAUAAAUAAUUCCUUUCUGACAGUUUUUUUGAGGGGGUUGUUGGAGGGUGUCACUGGUUGGUACUGCUCCUUUCUCUGGACUGUUUCUGUUUAUGUGUUUCUCUUUAUUUGACCUGUUCAGGUUCCAGAAGAAAACUUUGUUCUUUGAUUCACCUUCUCAAGUUUUAUGGGCUGAGACUGUUAUUUUUUUAAUUGUUUAAUUAAGAGAGCAUGCUUGUUGGGAAGGAUAAUUAUUUUUACAUCGUGAGAAUUAAAUCAUUUGUGAAUUGGAUAUAUUUCCGCAUGAGCAGUUCUUACUUAAUGCGCUGUUUUCUUGAAGAUAGAUAUUCAUGCUUUCAGAGCUCUUGUUGCAAGCAGUAUUUAUCCAUGACUAUGAUAAAUCUCCAUUAUUGGGUGUAUGUGUGUUCUGUGAACCUCCAGAGUAUCAUCAUGAAAGACUUCAGCUGGAAAAUGUAUGCACUACUGUUCAAAUGGUCAGAAUUUGAAUCCUUAAUGCUGGAUGUUUUACACAAAAAAAUGUCCAGUAAGAAGUUCAUUUUUUUCUCCUCAAGAAUUCACCUUGUAGACAAACAGGUUGAAUUGAAAAUCAACCUUCUAGGUUGAAUUGAAAAUCAACCCUCUUAACCCUAAGUGUUUUCAAAUUAAAUUGGGCCUAAGGGAGAAGAACGAAGAGAAUUCUGCUAAACUUCAAGCUAACAGUUUUUAUCAAAAUAGAUCUAGUUGCUUGUAUCAGGAUGAUAAGUGGGCGCCACCUGUAGGUCCUGCUUCUUUUCUCUCUCUCGGAAGUUUCUGUCUGUUUCAGUGUCUGUCUUGCUUUUUCUUUGCAUUACAUUACAUGACGGUUUUUGUGUGAUGCUUCUCUUUACUCAGAUUAACAAACAAAUAAGCAGGGAACUGCACACUUUGCAUCGUUUCUGUUGUCAGAGACUGACUCAUUCACUUUUUUCUUCAUGGCUUUUCAUCAGUCGUCUUUCUCUGUCGAGAUCCAUUAUAUAUAUUAUUAUAUUGUCAUGACCUGCCAUCAUGAACUGAUGGAAACUUGUCCAACCCAGCUAAAACAAGCUGGGCACAAAACUUGCCUGUCCCACAGGAUUUCCUCAUUGGAUGGCUGGGCUUUGACAAAAGUCAAAUCACUGAUAUAUACCGAGUUGCAAAAGUUCUGUCACACCCAUUAUAUUACGAUAAUUUUUGGUACAGCGUAAUAAUUGCCAUAAGAAUUAAAAGUAAGACUUUCAUAACUUAUGAGACUCCUUGUGCCAGAGCAGACGAAGUAAAUCAGAAACCGGAAGUAGUGCGUGGACAAAGUGUUGGUAUUGAUUUCUCUAGGUCUACAUUGUAAUCAAAGCUUCCUACAUACAACAUUUGCUUUAAAUCACGUAGACAAUAUGUAAACACACCUUACACACAAUGAAAUUCCGUACUUUUUAACGGUUGGGUACUUUUUUCACCUGUUUU
rnacentral:lncRNA from 1 species